GACGAACGCUGGCGGCGUGCUUAACACAUGCAAGUCGAACGGAAAGGCCCAGCUUUUGUGGGGUGUUCGCGUGGCGAACGGGUGAGUAACACGUGAGUAACCUGCCCUUGACUUUGGGAUAACUUCAGGAAACUGGUGCUACUACCGGCUAGGUGCUCCUGCUGCAUGGUGGGGGUUGGAACGCUUGGGCGGAUGGGAAUGGACGCGGGGUUUAUUAGCUUGUUGGUGGGGUAGUGGCUUACCAAGGCUUUGACGGGUAGCCGGCCUGGGAGGGAGACCGGCCACAGAGGGAUUGGGAUACGACCCAGAGGCCUACGUGAGGCAGGAGCGGGGAAUAGUGCAAAAUGGGCGGAGGGCUGGUGCAGCAACGCCGGGUGCGGGAGGACGUCCUUCGGGGAGGAAGCCGAUUUCGCCAGUGACGAAGCGUGAGGGAGUGAAAUGGAGAAAGAGGCACCGGCUAACUACGG
rnacentral:rRNA from 1 species